UCAACACACAGUCACACUCGGGUAACAGCUGCGGCAGAGGCAACUGCAGCAGCACGCUGUGGUGACGGGUAAUACGCACUAUCAACGUUACAAAUCUUGGGCACAAGAAUUUGGAGGCCGUUCUAGACGGUGCGCAGCGUAUCAACGUUUAGCGAUUGAGAAAAAUGUGAAGGUUAACCUCACAGUACCGUGCAAAUUUGAAAAUGCAAAGCACGAUGGGAUUGCAGAAGAAGUUAUCUAAGCUUCAACACCUCCAACGCGACGAUCCUCCACUCGAGCGACAUAGACGGUUGGUGUACACGCGCACGGAGCGACCUGCUGUCGAAUGUUGAAGAUUUUAUAAAAUACAUGAUAAAAUACAAAUUUAUACUAGCAUUCAACAGAUUGGAUUAUAGAUCUUUCACGAUUGGCGAUCAAACUGAUUGUCUGAUCAUGAUGGCCGCCUGUUCUUAUGCGACGGAUGUUUGUGUCAAUUUACUGUGAAACACGCCUACAACAGUCAUCGGUAAGAUUGUAUUAUGCCAAAUGAAGUGCGUAUGGAAUCUCCCAAGCUUAAAGAUUUAGCCUUUUCAAAUUUCAAAACAAAGGCACCAUCCCAUUUGUCGUUUACGGUGAUCUCGAAUGUAUGUUAAAGUCCGUACUGGUGCGGUGGGUCAAUUCCAAAAUCAUGCCGCAAAAUGUAAAACACGUGAAUUUCACAAGCAUGUCCGGCACAGUGUAGUAUACUAUUUACAUACAUAAAACAUAAAUUAAAAAUUAUAAUGUAAAGAUAGGAAUAAUGCUAAUAAAAUAUUAAAAUUAAAUACAUAAUUCAAUAUUAAAUCGUAGAAUGCUGUUUGUGAUUUCUAUUAAGUAACAAACAAGAAUAAUACACACAAGUACAUACUGUAAUAUCACAUACUGUAAUAAAACGUAAAAUAUUAUCAUACAUAAAGUAAUAUGUAAAAAAAUAUUAUAUUUUCGUAAUAUGUAAAAAUAUUAUUUAACAAAAAAUUUAUAAGCAUAUCUUGCCACGCAUAUUCUUUUAGGCUCAUUUGACUUUGGUGUUUAAGUACUUAUAAAUAAUUUGAAAAUGCUUAACAAAAUUAUUGUCCUUUAAAAAACAUGAGCUUAUUAUUCUGCAUUCGUAUUCUUUGGCUUUGAUCUUCUAAAAGUUUACCUUGAUGUUUUAAACGAAUAUCUAUGUAUGUUUGUAUAAUGAGUACAAUUAAUUGAUGAUGACGGCCCAUAAAUAAUUCGUGUUCAAGAAAGUGCUCAUCGUCAUCUAAAAUUGAAGUUGGAUUAAUUUUCAAUAUUUCUGUAACCAAUUGAGCAUUCACAUUUUCGGUAGUUAAAUAUUUUUGACUACACAUGAUUCUUUCUGUGCAUUUGCAAAUAAAGUUGACAUCACAGGAUGCAUACUUCAAACCUCCAUAAUUUUUUGCGUUAAUUAACUGAGACUUAUUGGUACUGUCAGUUGUAUCUAAUAAUAGAUCACAGCAUUUAUCACAGUGGAUUUUUUGUGUCGAAAUACGUACAAUUGAACCUGCAGUAUGCUUGACAAUAUCUUCUGAGUAUUCAGAAAAGCACCAGCCUUCAUUUUUAGUUUUACUAUAACUGUGUUGAAAUAAAUGAUAAUUGUCAUUUUUUAGAAGAUCACCAACAUUAAUGGAUUGCGAUAUACUUUUUUUUUGCACCUUACUUUUUAGAUGAGUUUACUUUCUUAUAACUAAUUUUUGAGCUUUCAUCAUUAGUGUAUGUACUUUGUUCAUUAGUGAUAUUACUUAAUGCUACAAGUUUCUCUUUAGUAGGGCUUACUUCCUUGCUGCAACUUUUUGAUGAUUUAUCAUCAUUAUUUGCACUUUCUUCAGGGAGAACUAAUGUUUAAUGUAAAGGAGUACAGUUUGCCAAAGAAUAUGUUACAAUAUCUAAUUUGCUAAGCAAUAACUUUUUAUAGGCAGAGUUAUACUUUAAAUCCAUUUGUUCAUAUGACUCAAAAAUAUUUCUUCAUUUUUCAAUCAAUCAAUUUCGAUCAAUGUACUGAAUGAGUUUUUUUUUUUUUCUACUUCUUUUAAAUUAGAUUUAUUAAUACUCAUUUGAAUUGAUUUUUUGCAAAAUUUACUACGAACAUUUAACAAAUCAAACAUACCCUUAAAAUUUUUGCAAACUGUUGCUGUUGAAGAAGCAUUUUCAAAGUCUUUAUAUUUAUAAGUGAAUUUUCAUAAAGUUAACGCAACUACGACACUUUUGCUUAGCACUUGAGCUGCCGAAAAAUACUUUCAUUUUCUCUUUAUAGAAAUUAACGUGUCAAUGACUGAUUUUACAAGCUAAAUGUCAUCUCGAACUUUCUCGUGCUUUCUGUAAUUUUUUAAUGAAUCCCCAAUGCAUGCACGGCCGAAUUACGCUAUGAGGCAUCCUUACGCCAAAUCGACCGCAGCGACCAUUAAAUAAUUUAAUCCAAUUAAGUAUCCUCAAAUUAUAAAUGACGAAAAGAAUAUUAUAAAUAAAAAUACCGUUUUCUUCAUGUCACUUCGGAAUAGGUGUUUAAUACUUUAAUGGAAGUACACGGGCCGACGCAAGCGGUCAACAACACUGAACUCGGUUUUUCCAGAUUAUUAGGUUAUACAGCUUGUUAUGUUUUAUAUAUUUUUAAACUAAUAUAUCAAUAACAGAAAGCUUGUUUUACUUGAAAUAGUCACUCGCAUAACCUUUGGUAUUUUAGGUUUGCAAGUUGCUGUGAACAUGGAAUUUUUCAGUAUAGAGCUUAGUUUUCAUAAGGUUAUUGGAUUUUUCAGGGAUUGAAAGCAUUUUACGUAGAAUCAGUUAAAUCGCAAGUACUUGAGAAGCUGGGUCACAUUUUUAUGUAACUAGCUGCACCCUGUGUAGUUGACGGGCAGUGGAGUCAUUGAACCAUUAUCACAUUGAUCUUCCUGCUUCUUGUUUAUUUGAGAGAUAUAAGAGGUAUUUUCGUAUUGAACUCAUUCCGUGAGUUG